rnacentral:rRNA from 1 species
CCUGAGAAACCCAAAAGAUCGAAUGGGGAGAUUCAUCGUCAGCGAUACUGGUACGUGUGCGAUUCGCGAUGCCGGGGACUUCGGUCUCGUGGCACGCGUCCGCAUGUCUUUAUUGCCUGGUGUCGUCGGCGUGCACUUCUCCCCUAGUAGGACGUCGCGACCCGUUGGGUGUCGGUCUACGGGCCGGGUUGCUGCCUGUCUCGUGUGCGCUUUACGGUGUCACUGCGGGGCAGAACCCCGGAGGCCCGGCGGUACUCGCAAGGUAUCUGGCCGCAAAUAUUCGAACUGCGUCCGGCCCGUCGCAAGCGAGGCAAGUGCUUCCCGAAUGUACGGAUCUAAUGCCGUCAUCGGGCCUAGUCAGCUGUUGGUUGACGGUGUCCUAGGACUGGCUAUAACAAUUACGAUACCGGUCAACGACGCU